rnacentral:rRNA from 1 species
UACGUAGGGUGCAAGCGUUAAUCGGAAUUACUGGGCGUAAAGCGUGCGCAGGCGGUUGUGCAAGACAGAUGUGAAAUCCCCGGGCUUAACCUGGGAACUGCAUUUGUGACUGCACGGCUAGAGUACGGCAGAGGGGGAUGGAAUUCCGCGUGUAGCAGUGAAAUUCGUAGAUAUGGGGAGGAACACCGGUGGCGAAGGCGGCCACCUGGACGGAUACUGACGCUGAGACGCGAAAGCGUGGGUAGCAAACAGG